GAUGAACGCUGGCGGCGUGCCUAAAACAUGCAAGUCGAGCGGUAAGGCCCCUUCGGGGGUACACGAGCGGCGGACGGGUGAGUAACACGUGGGAAUCUACCCCAAACUGAGGGAUAAGCACCGGAAACGGUGUCUAAUACCGCAUAUGGUCUUCGGAUUAAAGCUUCGGCGGUUUGGGAAGAGCCCGCGCAAGAUUAGCUAGUUGGUAAGGUAAUGGCUUACCAAGGCGACGAUCUUUAGCUGGUUUGAGAGGAUGAUCAGCCACACUGGAACUGAGACACGGUCCAGACUCCUACGGGAGGCAGCAGUUAGGAAUCUUCCACAAUGGGCGAAAGCCUGAUGGAGCAACGCCGCGUGCAGGAUGAAUGCCUUCGGGUUGUAAACUGCUUUUAUGUGCGAAGAAUAUGACGGUAACACAUGAAUAAGGAUCGGCUAACUCCGUGCCAACAGCCGCAGUAA
rnacentral:rRNA from 1 species